rnacentral:lncRNA from 1 species
AAAGGGUAACGAUUAAACAACACUUUUUGUAAAACAAAAAGGCAAGUACUCUCCCGUAGCCAUAUGUAAGAAGACCAAUCAUGAAGAAAAUGAGUGUUGGCAUAAAGGUAAGCCACAAUAUUUUCAAGGUAAAGAGAUUUGGGCAUAAGGCAAAAGAUUGCCGAUUUUGUAAAGAGGAGACAACAACAUAGUACAAGAAGAAAUUUUGCUUUAAGAUUAAAUGGUAGAAGUGCAUCAGUAUGGAGAUAAGUCUCCAUUGGAAAAUCUCCAGAGAGAAGUGCUCCCAUAAUGAAAUUUACGGAGAGAAGUUGCUCCACGCAAUUGAGAAGUUUGGGAAUGUGAUCCAAUUUUCAUAUUUAAUUUAGUUUCUUUAAAUUUGUGUUAACAUUUUUCUAAACUGAUUUAUGCCAGAUAUCAGUUUUAAAGAGGGUGUUAGGAGUUUAAUUUGUAUUUGAAUAAGUCUCCUGUCUUUGUUUUAUCCUACUCUUUAGAUUUGUUAGCUAAACAAGCUAUAGGAGUCGUUCCUAUUUGUGUGCUUCAUUAUCAGUUAGUGCCUUAUUUUCUCCACAUUAGUCAUGUACUCUUAAUUUAAGUACAUGAAUGCAAUGAUUAAUUACAGUUCCUCAAUUAUCUUCUUGAGUUUGUAUCAAAAACAAGGAAGCAGUAUUCACCAGUGAGCCAAAAUUCCGAACCCAACUACACAAAUAUUCAAAAGGUAAAAGACCUCAACAAAAUGAUCACUCAAGAUUCUGUAGUAGUUAAAAUCCAUUAAAACCAUAACCAUCAGAAAAGGGGAAAGGUUCACAACUUCAACCUACCCGCGUAGAAAAGGAGGUUGGCAGACGACAAGAACCAAACCAUAAGAAGCUACAAAAACACCAGACUACAUAAAUCCUACAAAAACAAGGAAACUCAAUUAAUAAGAUUAAACUACCACACAGAAAACUAAAAGCGAUGGAAAAGAAGGAGAAAAUAGAAUCGAGUAAAUACCAUAAAGCAAAGCACUAAAUCGAAUCAAAAUAACUCCUACAGAUGGAGAAACACAUUAUCAUGGUCAGAACCACACAAACACCCUAUAUUUAAAAAGGAGUCCUAUCCUUCUAUAUUAUGAACUUACGUUAAUAAUUCCCAUUUAUUUUUUUUUCUAUAAACUAAAACUGAGGAGAAAAAUUAUAUUCGGUGUUGAACAUUAGAGUUUAUUUUGCAUUUAUAUUUUGUUAAUAAAAUGCCCGAUUGUUAGGUGAGUAAGUUAGUGUUGUUUAGUGUUUGAAUUGUCCUUAACCUCUGCCAUGUUUUUAUGUCAUGUACACGUGGAGUUUUAUGUUUACUUUCUGUUUUCCUAGUCUGUUAUUCACUAAAAGAAGGCUUCAUCUCCCAAAUUAUGUGCUUUAGUUAAUAAUCUUGGCCAGUGUUUUUACAUUCGGAGCUUAAGUCACAAUCUCCUGCAUAAACAGAACAAAACUCAGUUCAAAUUACUCCUUUUACACGUAAUUGAGAAAGAAGAAGAGAAAGAAUAAUAGAGAAGGAACCAUUGCAAGUUGUUUGGCCAGUCCUUGUUGGCAAAGGGUCAAUGCCACACCGAGUGAACCAACUCUAUUAUUGGAUUAUCAAAUACGUUGUGUUUGGAUCAAUAUAAUUUUUUUUAUCAAUAGUUGAAAUAUAAUUUUUUUUAUCUAAUUUGAAAAAAAAACUCCCAAGAUGAAAGAAACUACUUUUAAUUUUUUUUUUUGAAUAAAAAAUAGUUUUUAUCUUUAGUAUUUUUUAACAUUAUCAUUUUUUUAUACUUUUUGAACUGAUUUAAAAAAAUAAUAAAUUCUAAUCAAACAUAAAAAAAUCACUAAAAAUACUCAGUGGAAAGCAGUCCCAUAAAACCAAUAAAACACUUACACACCAUGGGCUUAAUUAUCAAGCAUACCAUAGAUACGGACCUAUGUCACGGGCUUAGUCUCGAUCGGCCUCGACCUGCGCCUUAGACACCUUCUCGUCUAAAGAUGCUAAAACCUAAGAACAACCGAAAACAAUGCAAAUUUUUCACAAGCACAAGAGAGAAUUCAGAGAGAGAGAGAGAGCGGUUGUGAGAAUGCCUUCAUUGCUCUAACAUUGGCUGAUUUACAAUGAGAAGCUACCCCUGUUUAUACAAGUUCACCUCCUCUAUGACGGUGAGGAUCAUUUUGAUCCAACGGUAGAUCAAAAGCACCUAGAACCUUCCACACCAUCUAUAAAAAAUUUACCCAUGUGAAGGUAACUCUAGAAUGUCCUUAGAAUUACCUAGAAUACUCUAGGUUUUAAUGGACCAUUGAACCAUUUGGUUUUGGCCGCUCCCCGAGCCCAUGGGCCCUUGAUUUUAUGGGCCCAUAAUUGGGCUUGGCAAUUUGGCUUCUGCACCCACAUUGCUUAAAUUGCUAGUCAUUUUGGUGGGCUUGUACAUCUCCCCCACUCAAUUUGGCGACGCCCCCCGUCGCCGUCCCUCAAAAUUAGCCGGUCUGUCCCCGGAUGGCCA